rnacentral:rRNA from 1 species
CCUACGGGAGGCAGCAGUGAGGAAUAUUGGUCAAUGGGCGCGAGCCUGAACCAGCCAAGUAGCGUGAAGGACUACUGCCCUACGGGUUGUAAACUUCUUUUAUAAAGGAAUAAAGUGAGGCUCGCGUGCCUUUUUGUAUGUACUUUAUGAAUAAGGAUCGGACAACUCCGUGCCAGCCGCCGCGGUAAUAAGGAGGAUCCGAUCGGUAUGCGGGUUUAUUGGGUUUUAAGGGAGCGUAGGUGGGGUGUUAAGUCAGUUGUGAAAGUUUGCGGCUCAAACGUAAAAUUGCAAUUGGUACUGGCAGUCUUGAGUACAGGUGAGGUAGGCGGAAUUCGUGGUGUAGCGGUGAAAUGCAUAGAUAUCACGAAGAACUCCGAUUGCGAAGGCAGCUUACUAACCUGCCACUGACAUUGAUGCUCGAAAGUGUGGGUAUCGAACAGGAUUAGAUACCCCUGUAGUC